rnacentral:rRNA from 1 species
GCAGUCGAACGGUAGAGGGGGCAACCCCUCGAGAGUGGCGAACGGCUUAGUAAUAUAUCGGAACGUGCCCAGUCGUGGGGGAUAACGUAGCGAAAGUUACGCUAAUACCGCAUACGAUCUACGGAUGAAAGCGGGGGACCGUAAGGCCUCGCGCGAUUGGAGCGGCCGAUAUCAGAUUAGGUAGUUGGUGGGGUAAAGGCUCACCAAGCCAACGAUCUGUAGCUGGUCUGAGAGGACGACCAGCCACACUGGAACUGAGACACGGUCCAGACUCCUACGGGAGGCAGCAGUGGGGAAUUUUGGACAAUGGACGCAAGUCUGAUCCAGCCAUUCCGCGUGCAGGAUGAAGGCCCUCGGGUUGUAAACUGCUUUUGUACGGAACGAAAAGGUUUCCAUUAAUACUGGGAGCUCAUGACGGUACCGUAAGAAUAAGCACCGGCUAACUACGUGCCAGCAGCCGCGGUAAUACGUAGGGUGCAAGCGUUAAUCGGAAUUACUGGGCGUAAAGCGUGCGCAGGCGGUUAUGUAAGACAGAGGUGAAAUCCCCGGGCUCAACCUGGGAACGGCCUUUGUGACUGCAUAGCUAGAGUACGGUAGAGGGGGAUGGAAUUCCGCGUGUAGCAGUGAAAUGCGUAGAUAUGCGGAGGAACACCGAUGGCGAAGGCAAUCCCCUGGACCUGUACUGACGCUCAUGCAUGAAAGCGUGGGGAGCAAACAGGAUUAGAUACCCUGGUAGUCCACGCCCUAAACGAUGUCAACUGGU